UCCGCUAACGAGCGCAACCCUCGCUGUGUGUUACAAGUGUCACACGGAACUGCCGGUCAUAAACCGGAGGAAGGUGGGGAUGACGUCAAGUCAGCAUGGCCUUUAUAUCCUGGGCUACACACACGCUACAAUGGGAAGGGACAAUAGGUUGCGAAGCCGCGAGGCGGAGCCAAUCCAGCAAAACUUCCCUCAGUUCAGAUUGCAGGCUGCAACUCGCCUGCAUGAAGUUGGAGUUGCUAGUAAACGCAGGUCAGCCAUACUGCGUUGAAUACGUUCCCGGGGCUU
rnacentral:rRNA from 1 species